rnacentral:rRNA from 1 species
AUUGAACGCUGGCGGCAUGCCUUACACAUGCAAGUCGAACGGCAGCACGGGGCAACCUGGUGGCGAGUGGCGAACGGGUGAGUAAUGCAUCGGAACGUGCCAUUGAGUGGGGGAUAACGUAGCGAAAGUUGCGCUAAUACCGCAUAUUCUGUGAGCAGGAAAGCAGGGGACCGCAAGGCCUUGCGCUCUUUGAGCGGCCGAUGUCAGAUUAGCUAGUUGGUGAGGUAGCGGCUUACCAAGGCGACGAUCUGUAGCGGGUCUGAGAGGAUGAUCCGCCACACUGGAACUGAGACACGGUCCAGACUCCUACGGGAGGCAGCAGUGGGGAAUUUUGGACAAUGGGCGCAAGCCUGAUCCAGCCAUGCCGCGUGAGUGAAGAAGGCC